ACACAUACACACAAAAGCAGGUGAAGAAAGAAAGGACGAACUACAGCAAGAGAUAGAGAGGUGAGCAGCUGGUGCCAGGAGUUCGAUAACCGUAAAGUACCACCUUUGUCACAACGUCUUAACCACGUCGCUAUAGUCUCGUCCCUGGUCGCGUCCCCUGCAUGACCACCAGAGGGCGUGCAGGUUGUGGCGGCGACGUCAAAGGUUGCGCCGGCGCGAGAUGAAACGGAUCCUUCUGAUGAGACUGCGAGGUUUUCAAAAUUUCUCUGCCAGGUGAUUUGCUUGAAGUCGAACAAACUUCCCACGAAUGAGAGCUGUAUGUAAACGAAUGACUUUGUGGAAACAGUAUUCAGAGGCUGCACAAAUCCACCUCUAGCAUGGAGAAAACUUGUAUAGAUUACACAGCAACCGUUUGUGGUCGUCAGCAAACAGGAUUUCAAGCAUCUUUCAUAUUCCCACUGGCAGUCUACAGUCUAGAUGCUGAUGAAAUAUUCCAAACCGGCAUCAGAAACAGUUUGUGUCGCUACUGGCUCCAGUUCUCGCUGUCACGUCACAUGAGCGGCUUCCCGCUAAGCUAACGUGAUCGUUCCAUUUGCUCAUGUGAUGUGGACGAUGAGCGAAUGGGCAGAUCACGCAUGCUUGGCGGGCUUGACAUUGAGUCGUUUCCUGUCAACUUAGGAAGACCACGCAUGCUCGGUGGCUCAUUUCCUGUCAAGCUUCGUGGUUGACUGCAAAGAUGCUGACACUAUGUGCUGAGGAUUUAACCGGUGCGAUGCUAGAACUGAAUGGUAUGUGACAAUGGUGACAAAUAGUAUACAUCACCAGUUGCUGAGGAAAUCGUGGCACACCUUGGUACAUCUUGCGCACAACUAGGAGCACAUCGCAUGUGAUGUUGACUUCCUGGGGCAGCAGUUAUAAACCAGACAUAUAUCCCUAGCUCCGGAUUUGCUUUACUUAUCUCCGCUCAGUACCUACAACCAUAGCAAGUUCUGCCACAACCAUGGACCUUACACAAGACGUGGGGGAGGACCUCAAGAGUAUUAACCGACCUUCUAUCAAUCGAAGUACCCCGCAACACGCAUGCUCCGAAGCUGAAGCUAAUCCUAAUCUCACCUCUUCUUGAUGACUACAGCCCCAUACGUGAAUUACGUUCAGUGUUGUUGGUAUAUGUGUUUCUUGUAACUGGCAUAGAGAUGAUGCUUCUUGAUGUGGAGUGUUAUUGUUGGGGAUAAAAUAUCAGGGUAUCAAAGUGAUUUUACAGGUCAAAUUUCAUGAAGAAGCGUCUUUUUUUCACUCUGUUUUGGCAGUGAUGCUAGUUUUAUCCUUUUCUUUGGAGUCGUGUUCACGACUAAUUUGAAAUACCCAAUAAAUAUUAUCAGCAUGAA